GAUGAACGCUGGCGGCGUGCCUAAUACAUGCAAGUCGAGCGAACAGACGAGGAGCUUGCUCCUCUGACGUUAGCGGCGGACGGGUGAGUAACACGUGGAUAACCUACCUAUAAGACUGGGAUAACUUCGGGAAACCGGAGCUAAUACCGGAUAAUAUAUUGAACCGCAUGGUUCAAUAGUGAAAGACGGUUUUGCUGUCACUUAUAGAUGGAUCCGCGCCGCAUUAGCUAGUUGGUAAGGUAACGGCUUACCAAGGCAACGAUGCGUAGCCGACCUGAGAGGGUGAUCGGCCACCCUGGAACUGAGACACGGUCCAGACUCCUACGGGAGGCAGCAGUAGGGAAUCUUCCGCAAUGGGCGAAAGCCUGACGGAGCAACGCCGCGUGAGUGAUGAAGGUCUUCGGAUCGUAAAACUCUGUUAUUAGGGAAGAACAAAUGUGUAAGUAACUGUGCACGUCUUGACGGUACCUAAUCAGAAAGCCACGGCUAACUACGUG
rnacentral:rRNA from 1 species